AACGAACGCUGGCGGCAUGCCUAACACAUGCAAGUCGAACGAACCCUUCGGGGUGAGUGGCGCACGGGUGCGUAACACGUGGGAACCUGCCCUUAGGUUCAGAAUAACAGUUAGAAAUGACUGCUAAUACCGGAUAAUGUCUUCGGACCAAAGAUUUAUCGCCUUUGGAUGGGCCCGCGUAGGAUUAGCUAGUUGGUGAGGUAAAGGCUCACCAAGGCGACGAUCCUUAGCUGGUCUUAGAGGAUGAUCAGCCACACUGGGACUGAGACACGGCCCAGACUCCUACGGGAGGCAGCAGUGGGGAAUAUUGGACAAUGGGCGAAAGCCUGAUCCAGCAAUGCCGCGUGAGUGAUGAAGGCCUUAGGGUUGUAAAGCUCUUUUACCUGGGAUGAUACUGACAGUACCAGGAGAAUAAGCCCCGGCUAACUCCGUGCCAGCAGCCGCCGUAAAAC
rnacentral:rRNA from 1 species